rnacentral:rRNA from 1 species
AUUGAACGCUGGCGGCAGGCCUAACACAUGCAAGUCGAACGAGUGGCGGACGGGUGAGUAAUGUAUGGGGAACUGGCCGAUAGAGGGGGAUAACUACUGGAAAAGGUGGCUAAUACCGCAUACUAUCAGAUGAACCCAUAUGGGAUUAGCUAGUUGGUGGGGUAAAGGCUCACCAAGGCGACGAUCGCUAGCGGGUCUGAGAGGAUGAACAGCCAAACUGGACCUGAGACACGGCCCAGCCUCCUACGGGAGGCAGCAGUGGGGAAUAUUCCACAAUGGGCGCAAGCCUGCUGCAGCCAUGCCGCGUGUAUGAAGAAGGCCUUCGGGUUUUAAAGUCCUUUCAGCGGGGCGGCGUUACCCGCAGAAGAAGCACCGGCUAACUCCGUGCCAGCAGCCGCGGUAAUAC